UGAUGAACGCUGGCGGCGUGCCUAAUACAUGCAAGUCGAGCGAACGGACGAGAAGCUUGCUUCUCUGAUGUUAGCGGCGGACGGGUGAGUAACACGUGGAUAACCUACCUAUAAGACUGGGAUAACUUCGGGAAACCGGAGCUAAUACCGGAUAAUAUUUUGAACCGCAUGGUUCAAAAGUGAAAGACGGUCUUGCUGUCACUUAUAGAUGGAUCCGCGCUGCAUUAGCUAGUUGGUAAGGUAACGGCUUACCAAGGCAACGAUGCAUAGCCGACCUGAGAGGGUGAUCGGCCACACUGGAACUGAGACACGGUCCAGACUCCUACGGGAGGCAGCAGUAGGGAAUCUUCCGCAAUGGGCGAAAGCCUGACGGAGCAACGCCGCGUGAGUGAUGAAGGUCUUCGGAUCGUAAAACUCUGUUAUUAGGGAAGAACAUAUGUGUAAGUAACUGUGCACAUCUUGACGGUACCUAAUCAGAAAGCCACGGCUAACUACGUGUCAGCAGCCGCGGUAAUACGUAGGUGGCAAGCGUUAUCCGGAAUUAUUGGGCGUAAAGCGCGCGUAGGCGGUUUUUUAAGUCUGAUGUGAAAGCCCACGGCUCAACCGUGGAGGGUCAUUGGAAACUGGAAAACUUGAGUGCAGAAGAGGAAAGUGGAAUUCCAUGUGUAGCGGUGAAAUGCGCAGAGAUAUGGAGGAACACCAGUGGCGAAGGCGACUUUCUGGUCUGUAACUGACGCUGAUGUGCGAAAGCGUGGGGAUCAAACAGGAUUAGAUACCCUGGUAGUCCACGCCGUAAACGAUGAGUGCUAAGUGUUAGGGGGUUUCCGCCCCUUAGUGCUGCAGCUAACGCAUUAAGCACCCCGCCUGGGGAGUACGACCGCAAGGUUGAAACUCAAAGGAAUUGACGGGGACCCGCACAAGCGGUGGAGCAUGUGGUUUAAUUCGAAGCAACGCGAAGAACCUUACCAAAUCUUGACAUCCUUUGACAACUCUAGAGAUAGAGCCUUCCCCUUCGGGGGACAAAGUGACAGGUGGUGCAUGGUUGUCGUCAGCUCGUGUCGUGAGAUGUUGGGUUAAGUCCCGCAACGAGCGCAACCCUUAAGCUUAGUUGCCAUCAUUAAGUUGGGCACUCUAAGUUGACUGCCGGUGACAAACCGGAGGAAGGUGGGGAUGACGUCAAAUCAUCAUGCCCCUUAUGAUUUGGGCUACACACGUGCUACAAUGGACAAUACAAAGGGCAGCGAAACCGCGAGGUCAAGCAAAUCCCAUAAAGUUGUUCUCAGUUCGGAUUGUAGUCUGCAACUCGACUACAUGAAGCUGGAAUCGCUAGUAAUCGUAGAUCAGCAUGCUACGGUGAAUACGUUCCCGGGUCUUGUACACACCGCCCGUCACACCACGAGAGUUUGUAACACCCGAAGCCGGUGGAGUAACCUUUUAGGAGCUAGCCGUCGAAGGUGGG
rnacentral:rRNA from 1 species